UACGUAGGGUGCGAGCGUUAAUCGGAAUUACUGGGCGUAAAGCGUGCGCAGGCGGUUCGUGAUGUCUGAUGUGAAAGCCCCGGGCUCAACCUGGGAAUGGCAAUGGAAACUGGCGGGCUCGAGUGUGGCAGAGGGGGGUGGAAUUCCGCGUGUAGCAGUGAAAUGCGUAGAGAUGCGGAGGAACACCGAUGGCGAAGGCAGCCCCCUGGGCUAACACUGACGCUCAGGCACGAAAGCGUGGGGAGCAAACAGG
rnacentral:rRNA from 1 species